rnacentral:misc_RNA from 1 species
CAACUAAGUUCAGUGCACACACAUCUUCAGCUUCGGAUGAGAACGAGGGAUUAUCUACCUCUGUUCAAUAUUUGUUCUUUUGGUGUUUUGAGUUAGGAGCUACUUUUUCUUUUUCUUUCGCCAAUGAAAUUCAAGUAUUGAGGUUUCAGAGAUGGUUAAAGUCCAAUCUUGAGUUGAUGAUCUUCUGGGGAAACUUCUUGGGGUCUUCCAUUGAAAGUUCCUAGAAAAGACAAUUUGGUGGUUUGGCUCUCCCAAUGAUCGAUGAUGGAUCAGGGAGAUGAUCCAUCCAUGGAGAAGAAGAGAACACCUGCAUGCAUUUUCUUUAAAGAUUUCAGACUUGUCCUUAAACUGGAUGAACUUGGGGUAGAAAUAGCACGUAUUGCAUUGCCUGCGGCGCUGGCUUUGACAGCAGACCCUAUUGCCUCUCUGGUGGACACAGCAUUUAUCGGCCGAAUAGGUCCAGUGGAGCUAGCUGCUGUUGGAGUUUCUAUUGCUCUAUUCAAUCAAGUAUCAAGAAUUGCAAUAUUCCCACUUGUCAGUGUCACAACAUCUUUUGUUGCUGAAGAAGAUACAAUUGGAAAAGUGAGUCCUGAAGUACAAGAGAAUGAAGCCUUGGAGAUAGGUUCAGCUGUAAACAAUGAAAGUAAAGAGUUGAUACCACAAAGUGAAAAAUCACUUAUUAGCAGCUUUGAUAUUGUUAAGAUUGAGAAUGAAAGAAGGCAUAUCCCCUCAGCCUCAUCUGCAGUAGUUAUUGGCGCCAUCCUUGGCUUCAUCCAAGCUAUAUUCCUCAUAUCUAGAGCAAAACCAUUGUUGAACUUCAUGGGAGUUGGUCCUGAUUCACCCAUGCUAAGCCCUGCACAGCAAUAUUUGACAUUGAGGUCACUUGGCGCCCCUGCAGUUCUCCUUUCCUUGGCCAUGCAAGGGGUCUUCCGUGGAUUGAAAGAUACAAAGACUCCUUUAUAUGCCACUGUGGCUGGAGAUGUAACAAAUAUAAUUUUAGACCCCCUACUCAUGUUUGUUUUCCGUCUGGGAGUUAGUGGUGCAGCCAUUGCCCAUGUUAUAUCCCAAUAUCUGAUUUCAAUUAUACUCUUGUGGAGACUAAUGGAACAAGUUGAUCUCGUACCUCCUAGUGUCAGACAUCUGCAAUUUGGUAAAUUUCUUAAAAAUGGUUUUCUAUUACUAAUGAGGGUCAUAGCUGUCACAUUCUGUGUUACUCUUUCUGCAUCAUUAGCUGCACGACAAGGAUCAACAUCCAUGGCUGCAUUUCAGGUCUGCUUGCAAGUUUGGCUGACCACAUCUCUUCUCGCUGAUGGAUUGGCUGUUGCUGGCCAGGCAAUACUUGCAAGUGCCUUUGCCAAAAGGGACUAUGACAAGGUGACGGCCACUGCAUCUCGAAUAUUGCAGUUGGGAUUGCUUCUAGGAUUGUCGCUGGCUCUCAUACUUGGACUAGGAUUGAGUUUUGGAGCAAGAUUAUUCACAAGUGAUGUCAAUGUUCUUCACAUGAUUAGUAUAGGCAUCCCGUUUGUUGCAGGUACUCAACCCCUCAACGCCUUGGCAUUUGUAUUUGACGGUGUCAACUUUGGAGCUUCUGAUUUUGCGUACUCUGCCUACUCCAUGGUGCUGGUGGCCAUUGUUAGCAUCCAAUGUUUAGUUUUUCUCUCCUCCAGUUAUAAUUUCAUUGGCAUCUGGGUUGCUCUGACCAUAUAUAUGACUCUUCGUGCGUCCGCAGGCUUUUGGAGGAUAGGGACUAGAACAGGACCCUGGAAGUUUCUCGGGAGCUCUUAAUCGCUUGUUUAUUGUUUCAGCCAUUUUUUUCUUCUCAUGGAUAGCAUGCCUCUGGUUGUAUAAGGAUACCUUUCUUUCUUCUGUUGUAUUCUUUUUAAGUUCAAAUAUCAUGAAUAUUAUUGUUCCUUCCUAUCUCCUGCAAAAAAAAAAUGGCUGAAACAAUAAACAAGCG